UAUGAGUACGUGGCACUGGGUAGGUGCCACUGGGUAUGUAAGCAAAAUAGACAACUUGGACCACAUGUAUGUGACACAAGGCAUGUUAACAUUUUAGGCCAAUCCUUCAGAAUGGAUACAUGUCACUGGGUAGGUGCCACUGGGUAUGUAUGCAAAAUAGACAACUUGGACCACAUGUAUGUGACACAAGGCAUGUUAACAUUCUUGGCCAAUCCUCCAGAAUGGAUACAUGUCACUGGGUAGGUGCCCAGAUAGAC
rnacentral:lncRNA from 1 species